GACCAUCAGGACAAGGCGUCUGACUUCGGAUCAGAAGAUUGAGGGUUCAAGUCCCUUCGUGGUUG
rfam:Poecilia formosa, whole genome shotgun sequence.